rnacentral:rRNA from 1 species
UACGUAGGGUGCGAGCGUUGUCCGGAAUUAUUGGGCGUAAAGAGCUCGUAGGCGGUUUGUUGCGUCUAUCGUGAAAACCUGCAGCUUAACUGUGGGCUUGCGGUGGAUACGGGCAGACUUGAGUUCGGUAGGGGAGACUGGAAUUCCUGGUGUAGCGGUGAAAUGCGCAGAUAUCAGGAGGAACACCGGUGGCGAAGGCGGGUCUCUGGACAGUUCCUGACGCUGAGGCACGAAGGCCUGGGGAGCAAACGGG